CCCUUAGAUGUUCUGGGCCGCACACGCGCUACACUGAAGGAGGCAGCGUGUACUCCUGGAUCGAAAGAUUUGGGUAACCCGCGAAUCUCCUUCGUGCUAGGGAUUGAGGUUUGCAAUUAUCCUUCAUGAACGAGGAAUUCCCAGUAAGUGCAAGUCAUAAGCUUGCGCUGACUACGUCCCUGCCCUUUGUACACACCGCCCGUCGCAACUACCGAUUGAAUGAUUUAGUGAGGACUUCGGACUGGGACCGAUGCGGCUUUCGGGCUGCGUCGGUAUUCUGGAAAGAUGUCCAAACUGUAUCAUUUAGAGGAAGUAAAAGUCGUAACA
rnacentral:rRNA from 1 species